GAUGAACGCUGGCGGCGUGCCUAAUACAUGCAAGUCGAGCGAACAGAUGAGGAGCUUGCUCCUCUGACGUUAGCGGCGGACGGGUGAGUAACACGUGGAUAACCUACCUAUAAGACUGGGAUAACUUCGGGAAACCGGAGCUAAUACCGGAUAAUAUAUUGAACCGCAUGGUUCAAUAGUGAAAGACGGUUUUGCUGUCACUUAUAGAUGGAUCCGCGCCGCAUUAGCUAGUUGGUAAGGUAACGGCUUACCAAGGCAACGAUGCGUAGCCGACCUGAGAGGGUGAUCGGCCACACUGGAACGGGGACACGGUCCAGACUCCUACGGGAGGCAGCAGUAGGGAAUCUUCGGCAAUGGGGGAAAGCCUGACGGAGCAACGCCGCGUGAGUGAUGAAGGUCUUCGGAUCGUAAAACUCUGUUAUUAGGGAAGAACAAAUGUGUGAGUAACUAUGCACGUCUUGACGGUACCUAAUCAGAAAGCAACGGCUAACUACGUG
rnacentral:rRNA from 1 species